GCUCAAAUGGUGGAAUUGGUAGACACGUCGGUCUUAGAAGCCGAUGUCCUCGGACGUGAGAGUUCAAGUCUCUUUGAGCACCA
rnacentral:tRNA from 1 species